AAAGCUUGCUUUUCUUGAGGUUAGCGGCGGACGGGUGAGUAACACGUGGGCAACCUACCUGUAAGACUGGGAUAACUUACGGAAACGUGAGCUAAUACCGGAUAGUUUCACUUCUCGCAUGAGAAGUGAAGGAAAGAUGGCUUUUAGCUAUCACUUACAGAUGGGCCCGCGGCGCAUUAGCUAGUUGGUGGGGUAAAGGCCUACCAAGGCAACGAUGCGUAGCCGACCUGAGAGGGUGAUCGGCCACACUGGGACUGAGACACGGCCCAGACUCCUACGGGAGGCAGCAGUAGGGAAUCUUCCGCAAUGGACGAAAGUCUGACGGAGCAACGCCGCGUGAGCGAAGAAGGUCUUCGGAUCGUAAAGCUCUGUUGUUAGGGAAGAACAAGUACCGGAGUAACUGUCGGUACCUUGACGGUACCUAACCAGAAAGCCACGGCUAACUACGUGCCAGCAGCCGCGGUAAUACGUAGGUGGCAAGCGUUGUCCGGAAUCAUUGGGCGUAAAGCGCGCGCAGGCGGUCCUUUAAGUCUGAUGUGAAAUCUUGCGGCUCAACCGUAAGCGGUCAUUGGAAACUGGGGGACUUGAGUGCAGGAGAGGAAAGCGGAAUUCCAUGUGUAGCGGUGAAAUGCGUAGAGAUAUGGAGGAACACCAGUGGCGAANGCGGCUUUCUGGCCUGUAACUGACGCUGAGGCGC
rnacentral:rRNA from 2 species